ACAACUAAACACAACAUUACCAACCUGCUACAACUCAACACAACAUUACCAACCUGCUACAACUCAACACAACAUUACCAACCUGCUACAACUCAACACAACAUUACCAACCUGCUACAACUAAAUACAACAUUAUCAACCUGCUACAACAUUAUCAACCUGUACAACUAAACACAACAUUACCGACCUGCUACAACUCAACACAACAUUACCGACCUGCUACAACUCAACACAACAUUACCAACCUGCUACAACUCAACACAACAUUACCAACCUGCUACAACUAAAUACAACAUUAUCAACCUGCUACAACAUUAUCAACCUGUACAACUAAACACAACAUUAUCGACCUGCUACAACUAAACACAACAUUAUCGACCUGCUACACAGAGAGGAACCAAGCAUAAAUGUCUUUUUCCAUUGAUUGAAAAUAGCUGUCACUGCAGGGGGAUGUUUGUAGCCAUCUUUUCAUUUUAUUUUCUCCUUCAUGUGGGAACAUCUAUAAUAUUAGACCCAUCUCUUUAUUCUCUUGAAUGACCUGUACAGACCAGGGUCUGUACCGACCCCGAGCUGGACUGAGGAGGUUUUAUACAGACCAGGGUCUGUAUCGACCCAGAGCUGGACUGAGGAGGUUUUAUACAGACCAGGGUCUGUACCGAGCUGGACUGAGGAGGUUUUAUACAGACCAGGGUCUGUAUCGACCCAGAGCUGGACUGAGGGGUUUUAUACAGACCAGGGUCUGUACCGACCCAGAGCUGGACUGAGGAGGUUUUAUACAGACCAGGGUCUGUAUCGACCCCGAGCUGGACUGAGGAGGUUUUAUACAGACCAGGGUCUGUACCGACCCAGAGCUGGACUGAGGAGGUUUUAUACAGACCAGGGUCUGUGAUCAACCAAGAUGGACUGAGGAGGUUUUAUACAGACCAGGAUCUGUACCGACCCCGAGCUGGACUGAGGAGGUUUUAUACAGACCAGGGUCUGUACCGACCCCGAGCUGGACUGAGGAGGUUUUAUACAGACCAGGGUCUGUACCGACCCCGAGCUGGACUGAGGAGGUUUUAUACAGACCAGGGUCUGUACCGACCCCGAGCUGGACUGAGGAGGUUUUAUACAGACCAGGGUCUGUACUGAGCUGGACUGAGGAGGUUUUAUACAGACCAGGGUCUGUACCGACCCCGAGCUGGACUGAGGAGGUUUUAUACAGACCAGGGUCUGUGAUCAACCAAGAUGGACUGAGGAGGUUUUAUACAGACCAGGAUCUGUACCGACCCAGAACUGAACUGAGGAGGUUUUAUACAGACCAGGGUCUGUACCGACCCAGAGCUGGACUGAGGAGGUUUUAUACAGACCAGGGUCUGUACCGACCCAGAGCUGGACUGAGGAGGUUUUAUACAGACCAGGGUCUGUGAUCAACCAAGAUGGACUGAGGAGGUUUUAUACAGACCAGGGUCUGUACCGACCCAGAACUGGACUGAGGAGGUUUUAUACAGACCAGGGUCUGUACCGACCCCGAGCUGCACUGAGGAGGUUUUAUACAGACCAGGGUCUGUACCGACCCCGAGCUGGACUGAGGAGGUUUUAUACAGACCAGGGUCUGUACCGAGCUGGACUGAGGAGGUUUUAUACAGACCAGGGUCUGUAUCAACCCCGAGCUGGACUGAGGAGGUUUUAUACAGACCAGGGUCUGUACCGACCCAGAGCUGGACUGAGGAGGUUUUAUACAGACCAGGGUCUGUAUCGACCCAGAGCUGGACUGAGGGGUUUUAUACAGACCAGGGUCUGUACCGAGCUGGACUGAGGAGGUUUUAUACAGACCAGGAUCUGUACCGACCCAGAACUGGACUGAGGAGGUUUUAUACAGACCAGGGUCUGUAUCGACCCAGAGCUGGACUGAGGAGGUUUUAUACAGACCAGGGUCUGUACCGACCCAGAACUGGACUGAGGAGGUUUUAUACAGACCAGGGUCUGUACCGACCCAGAGCUGGACUGAGGAGGUUUUAUACAGACCAGGGUCUGUGAUCAACCAAGAUGGACUGAGGAGGUUUUAUACAGACCAGGAUCUGUACCGAGCUGGACUGAGGAGGUUUUAUACAGACCAGGGUCUGUAUCGACCCAGAGCUGGACUGAGGGGUUUUAUACAGACCAGGGUCUGUACCGACCCAGAGCUGGACUGAGGAGGUUUUAUACAGACCAGGGUCUGUAUCGACCCCGAGCUGGACUGAGGAGGAUUUAUACAGACCAGGGUCUGUACCGAGCUGGACUGAGGGGUUUUAUACAGACCAGGGUCUGUACCGAGCUGGACUGAGGAGGUUUUAUACAGACCAGGGUCUGUACCGACCCAGAGCUGGACUGAGGAGGUUUUAUACAGACCAGGGUGUGUACCGAGCUGGACUGAGGAGGUUUUAUACAGACCAGGGUCUGUAUCAACCCCGAGCUGGACUGAGGAGGUUUGAUACAGACCAGGGUCUGUACCGACCCAGAGCUGGACUGAGGAGGUUCUAUACCUGGUCUGUGUUCAACCAAGAUGGAAGAGGAACGACUCAAACAUCCGAAUCUUAGUGCCAAGGUUACCGUGGAAACAGAGGAGGGGAACUGAUUUGUCUAAGUAACUAAUAUUAAAACAUUAAAAAAAUAAGUGUUAUGUAAAGUUGUUAUUGUCUAUUUGUUGGAGCGUAAACAGAGAAACACCAGAUGGGACGAUGUGCGUUGUUGUCCUGUCAGGAGUGGAUUGAUUGAUUGAUUGAUUGAUUGAUUGAUUGAUUGAUUGAUU
rnacentral:lncRNA from 1 species